UAAUUUUAUUAAAAAUUGUGUGACCAAUAAUAUUUUAUAAUUCUUUUAAUAUUAGUCGAAUUAGUUUAAUUUAGAUUAUAUUUCUAAUGAUAUUUUAGAUAAAAAUGUAUGUAUUAAUUUUUGUGUUUGAAUCAAAACAUCAUUUAAAAUAGAAAGAUACUAAUCAUCAUGUGACAAAAACAAAUUAUAUUAGUGAAAAAAAAAACUAAAUUUAUCAGCAUUUUGUUUUUUUCCGGUUGCUGUGGUCUCUGAUUGUUUAAAAAAAAACGCAUGUAAAUGUAGGGACCACGUGAGGAGUUCUAAAGUUAUUUCCGCGGCUAGAUAUUUUAGGAGGAAUAAAGGCAACGAACACUUGUUUAGACCUAGUGGUCUUGGUGGAUAAGAAUAAGACACGUGUAUGGUGGUAAUCUGACACAACCUUUCACCAUUGAUGGUUGCUAUCAGAGCCAAAAUAUCUGAUUGUUUCCAUCUCUUUACUCGCCGUGCGUCUGGUUGAUAAAACAAUACUUGCUCUAUCUCCACUGACAUUCCUUAAACCACCAGUUUAGUUUUGAUUUUUUUUUGUAACAAAAUUAUCACAUAAUAAAGUGCUAUGCCUUUGGUUGGACGAUAACGCAGCGAGUGAAGUGUGGUGGAUGGAGUGAGUAAUGACUUUUGGUUAAGGAAUAAAAAUCUAACGAUAUUUGGACCUAACUUACACGAACAGACGAAAUCGUUUGGGGACUGCGUCUCUGUUCUCUGUUCUCUGGUGGCUUUCAGACGAAAUCGGUUCCUUUUGGACAGUUUUGCGAGCGAUAGAGUAGAUCUCGGAUGGGGUGGGAAUGGGUCUGUCGAUGGUUUCAGUUCAGGGUCGGAGUUUCAGGGAAAGUGGCUAGUUUCUGCUGUAGAUUCCGAUUCAGAUCUGGGCCUCUGGUUCAGUGUGGUGGAGAAAGCUGGCAGUGGUGUGCUGGUGUCUUUCUAUUUCGCCUGAUGGCUGCGGGGUUGGAGUUCUCUAUCUGGUGGUGGAGGCGCGUGAAGCUCUCUCUCGGUGCACUAGGAGAGCUUGUGGCGGCGCGUUAUAAUCUUCUUGUUUGUGGAUGUCACCUGUCUCCUUUGUGGUAUCUCGUAGACUGGAGGAUGCUCUGACUUCUUCGCAUGCUCGACAGUGUGGCGCUCUGAACCUCUCCUGUCCUUUCCGAAUAAGAGCAACAGCUGGUGUUGUGUAAACUUCCAGGAGUUCUUGACGUAGAACGACAUUUUUUUUCAACUGGCGUCUUGGGGAGCAGCAAUUCUUUCUCAAGUGGAGGGUCUCGAUGGAUGAGUUGUCUUCUCGUCUGGCUGUGCGGAGUCGCUAUCCGUGCGGCACAGGCUUAGGCUAGAUCCGAUCAGCUGAGGCAUUCCGCUGCUCCUUUAUCCUCAGCCUCCAGUUUCGAUUGGGAUGGGUCGUCUUCUCCGAAUGCAUCCGUUUGAGUCUUCAUAAAGGGUCGAUGUUGUGUGCACUGAUUUUGCAGGAUAGUUGAGGUGUGCUCUCGAUGAAGCUGUAGGAGCGGAGUGGUUUUGAGGACUGACCAUCUCUGUAGCUCGCGGCGACUUAGAAGCCCACCAAUGCGAUUCCAACUCUUUGGUUCAUAGCUUUUCAAGACAAAGGGCGAGAUCCCAUUCAACCAAAGGAGCUCAACAAGUUGAAAGGGAGACGUAAGAUGCUCAGCAAAUUGGAGUGUGUGGUCACGGCUUCGAAUUCAUGCAACCUUGUGUAGUUGUAUUUAAAUUCGAAUGAUUUUAUUAUGUAGUAGACUCUACUUAGCCCAUGGAGAAUUUUUUUUUUUUUUAUUAUACGAAACAUUACAAGCUGUGACAAACGUCA